rnacentral:tRNA from 1 species
AGGCGGUUAGCUCAGAUGGUUAGAGCGCUACGUUGACAUCGUAGAGGUCGUAGGUUCGAUUCCUAUACCGCCUACCA